GACGAACCGUGCGAACGUUGUUCGGAAUCACUGGGCUUAAAGGGCGCGUAGGCGGGUCUCUUAGUCUGGAGUGAAAGCCCACGGCUCAACCGUGGAAGCGCUUUGGAUACUGGAGACCUCGAGGGAGGUAGGGGCGUGCGGAACUUCCGGUGGAGCGGUGAAAUGCGUAGAUAUCGGAAGGAACACCGGUGGCGAAAGCGGCGCGCUGGACCUCUUCUGACGCUGAGGCGCGAAAGCCAGGGGAGCAAACGGG
rnacentral:rRNA from 1 species